UUUUGUCUGUAAACGACGCCAUUGUUGUUUUAGCAUCACUGUUGCAAACUUCAAGUCUCCGCUCUUAUUUUGCGAUUUGUUACACACUUCACGCAAGGUCAGCACCAUGUUCACGAGUGUGGCAAGCGUCUUUCAUCAAGCAUCUGAGUGGACACAUCCAGCACUAGUGUUUACCUCAGCAAGUAUUCAGCAUCUUCCUGCCGCACCAGGUCAUCCAUCACCACUCUUCCACAUCUCUUCGGCUUACAGUCUGAAACAUACCAGCCAUGGCAAUCAG
rnacentral:misc_RNA from 1 species